rnacentral:pre_miRNA from 1 species
GUUUCUAGGGUUAUAAUUAGGUUGAGCGGACUCAUUUCUCGAUCUCUCAAUUUCUGUUUUAUAUAAUUACAAUUACUGAACCCCAAACCUUAAUUGACGGAUGCCGCAUGCGAAGAACUCUAAACCCUUCUUUGCUCGGUGAAGGCAAGCUAAACUCAGGUGGUUUUGUACUUCUAUGUUUCCAGAUCGCUGAGGAGAUCAAGAACUCCAGAUCAAAGUUGACACCGGCUCUGUUUUAAGCAUCUUUCAUGUUAAUUAUUACCUGUCAGAAAUU